GAUGAACGCUGGCGGCGUGCCUAAUACAUGCAAGUCGAGCGAACAGAUAAGGAGCUUGCUCCUUUGACGUUAGCGGCGGACGGGUGAGUAACACGUGGGUAACCUACCUAUAAGACUGGGAUAACUUCGGGAAACCGGGGCUAAUACCGGAUAAUAUUUCGAACCGCAUGGUUCGAUAGUGAAAGAUGGUUUUGCUAUCACUUAUAGAUGGACCCGCGCCGUAUUAGCUAGUUGGUAAGGUAACGGCUUACCAAGGCGACGAUACGUAGCCGACCUGAGAGGGUGAUCGGCCACACUGGAACUGAGACACGGUCCAGACUCCUACGGGAGGCAGCAGUAGGGAAUCUUCCGCAAUGGGCGAAAGCCUGACGAAGCAACGCCGCGUGAGUGAUGAAGGUCUUCGGAUCGUAAAACUCUGUUAUUAGGGAAGAACAUACGUGUAAGUAACUGUGCACGUCUUGACGGUACCUAAUCAGAAAGCCACGGCUAACUACGUGCCAGCAGCCGCGGUAAUACGUAGGUGGCAAGCGUUAUCCGGAAUUAUUGGGCGUAAAGCGCGCGUAGGCGGUUUUUUAAGUCUGAUGUGAAAGCCCACGGCUCAACCGUGGAGGGUCAUUGGAAACUGGAAAACUUGAGUGCAGAAGAGGAAAGUGGAAUUCCAUGUGUAGCGGUGAAAUGCGCAGAGAUAUGGAGGAACACCAGUGGCGAAGGCGACUUUCUGGUCUGUAACUGACGCUGAUGUGCGAAAGCGUGGGGAUCAAACAGGAUUAGAUACCCUGGUAGUCCACGCCGUAAACGAUGAGUGCUAAGUGUUAGGGGGUUUCCGCCCCUUAGUGCUGCAGCUAACGCAUUAAGCACUCCGCCUGGGGAGUACGACCGCAAGGUUGAAACUCAAAGGAAUUGACGGGGACCCGCACAAGCGGUGGAGCAUGUGGUUUAAUUCGAAGCAACGCGAAGAACCUUACCAAAUCUUGACAUCCUUUGACAACUCUAGAGAUAGAGCUUUCCCCUUCGGGGGACAAAGUGACAGGUGGUGCAUGGUUGUCGUCAGCUCGUGUCGUGAGAUGUUGGGUUAAGUCCCGCAACGAGCGCAACCCUUAAGCUUAGUUGCCAUCAUUAAGUUGGGCACUCUAAGUUGACUGCCGGUGACAAACCGGAGGAAGGUGGGGAUGACGUCAAAUCAUCAUGCCCCUUAUGAUUUGGGCUACACACGUGCUACAAUGGACAAUACAAAGGGCAGCGAAACCGCGAGGUCAAGCAAAUCCCAUAAAGUUGUUCUCAGUUCGGAUUGUAGUCUGCAACUCGACUACAUGAAGCUGGAAUCGCUAGUAAUCGUAGAUCAGCAUGCUACGGUGAAUACGUUCCCGGGUCU
rnacentral:rRNA from 1 species